rnacentral:lncRNA from 1 species
ACCAACCCUCGCGGAAUGUUGAAUUAUAUCCUUAAGAAAACCUAGUAAAAUCAGAAUUUCAAAAAAUCCUCGCUUUCAGCGCCAUCUUCCUUGCAGACUGGACGACCAUUUUUCGUAGUUCGCAUUUCCCCUUUCUCAUGCUUCCCCAAAUCACACACUAGUUCAGUGCCAAACACUUCUUAUUACAAAAUACUGUAGAUUCUUCUUUGUCCUUUGAACUAGACAUUAUAUUUGUAUUUCUAUCCAAAUCCAUCCAAGACUGUUCUUCCACAUUAUUUUAAUUCAAUCAGGUAAAUAUUCGGAGUUUUGUCUAUUUAUGGACAAAUUUUCAUUUUUUUGUGGAAAAAUAUACUUCUUUUGGUGAUUUUUAUAGUUAACACGGUUGACACUACUUCCUUUCAGUUUCAGGCUUGAAAGUUUGAAGUAGACUGCCAUUCCUUUAAGUUUCAAGCUUGAUACUUGCAUUAUGUUUAUCGGUUAAUUUGGUUAAUGCUCAUUAGUUGUUGAGUAGAAUGGUU